rnacentral:rRNA from 1 species
CACGGGGGGAGCAAGCGUUGUUCGGAAUCACUGGGCGUAAAGGGCGUGUAGGCGGUCAGGUAAGUGGGAUGUGAAAGCCCUCGGCUCACCCGAGGAUCUGCAUCUCAAACUGCCUGGCUUGAGUAUGGGAGAGGAUGAGGGAAUUCCUGGUGUAGCGGUGAAAUGCGUAGAUAUCAGGAGGAACACCAGUGGCGAAGGCGGCUUCCUGGACACCAACUGACGCUGAGACGCGAAAGCGUGGGGAGCAAACAGG